rnacentral:lncRNA from 1 species
AUAAUUCCUACUUUCACCAUGUCUAUGAUUGAGUAGACUUUCAUUUAGGAUUAUGAGGAUAAUCUAAAUGACAUACUCGUUGUGAUUUGUGGUUUCAAUCUUUGUCCUUAAUAUCUAAGAUAGUGCUAUAACCUUUAAGAACUCUAUGAAUGUAUAUUUAUCUAAUUAUAACCUUUAAGAAAAAAAUUGUGUUUUUUUAUAUUCUUGUAACAACAGGCGUAUCAAAUAAGCAAAAUGUACAUACUUGGUACAUAUCAUAUGCAUACUAAUACUAUG